GUCUCAGGCCAGAUCAGCCUGAAGGCGCCCGAUCUGGUCUGAUCUCGGAAGCUAAGCAGGGUCGGGCCUGGUUAGUAUCUUGGAUGGGAGACCACCUGGGAAUCCCGGGUGCUCGAGGCU
rnacentral:rRNA from 1 species